rnacentral:rRNA from 1 species
AUUGAACGCUGGCGGCAGGCUUAACACAUGCAAGUCGAGCGGGGUGAUGGUGCUUGCACUAUCACUUAGCGGCGGACGGGUGAGUAAUGCUUAGGAAUCUGCCUAUUAGUGGGGGACAACAUCUCGAAAGGGAUGCUAAUACCGCAUACGUCCUACGGGAGAAAGCAGGGGAUCACUUGUGACCUUGCGCUAAUAGAUGAGCCUAAGUCGGAUUAGCUAGUUGGUGGGGUAAAGGCCUACCAAGGCGACGAUCUGUAGCGGGUCUGAGAGGAUGAUCCGCCACACUGGGACUGAGACACGGCCCAGACUCCGACGGGAGGUAGCAGUGGGGAAUAUUGGACAAUGGGGGGAACCCUGAUCCAGCCAUGCCGCGUGUGUGAAGAAGGCCUUAUGGUUGUAAAGCACUUUAAGCGAGGAGGAGGCUCUUUUGGUUAAUACCCAAGAUGAGUGGACGUUACUCGCAGAAUAAGCACCGGCUAACUCUGUGCCAGCCGCCGCGGUAA